GGCCCGCGCCCGAGGAGCCCCGCCGGGAAGGCGCAGCCGCCGGCCGUGUGCGCCUCGGGGCUGCGCGCCCCGCGUCUCGCUGCGCCCGCAGCUACGGUGCAGCAGCUCUGAACUCGCAGGUCCGGCUACUCUCAAACAAUACCGAGGUUUUCAUCUCGCUCUACAUGACCUGUGGGACGUAAAUGCUUUUAAUUUAGGAUAGUGUCAUUUUUGCUUAUUUCACCAUUGAGGUUUCAGCCAGGAGCCUCUGAGAAUUCCAUUUCUGACCCAUGUCAGUUGCCAUGUCCUGACCUCCAUCAAACACCUGACCAUCCACUCUCAGUGCUAUAGUAUAACCUAUAUGAAAUAUGGAUCUCAAACUCCCUUCUUAAAACACAUUACCAAGAGUCCCUGGUCUAACACUUCAUCAGCUGCUCUUGUGGCAAGAAACUGAGGAUUAGACGAGGUCAGAGGAGUGCAUUCCCUGAAGAAGAGUGACUAAUGCAAAUGUUUUGGAAAUUGGAAGACACGAAUGACAGGUCAAAGAGUACUUGGCAGGAU